AGUAAACAUUGGUUUGAAGGAUCAAACCGAUGUUUGAACAGACAUGUGACAGAUGUCAAAGAUCUGAGCUGCCUCGCUACGUUUAAAGUCUUCCAAGAACACCUGCCAGGUCCUGGUUAGUGCUUACAUUCAGGUCACGGAAGUAUUCAUUGUAGUCCAGGGCAUAGCCGACGACGAAUCGGUUGGGGAUUUCAAACCCGAUGUCUGUCAAAGCAAACACAGAAACCAUGACAAGUCAUCGGGGUGUUUGGGUGCUGCGCUCUCCCCGCCGCCGCCGCCACCCGGCUUCAGAUGCAUUCCUGCUGCUCCGGCUGUGUGGGCUCUUUGUAAGAGUAUCUAUGGUUCUGGAAGAGCGGCCGGAGAGAAUGCAGGUUCCCGGCCAAUGUUCUCAGUCCACCUGAACGCCGUUACGCAACAGUCAGAGACAAAGACUGGAAAGUAAAGACGGCAGCCAACCUGUCCCGCUGUAAACACACAAACUGAUGUCCAGACGUCACUGAGUCUGUCAGAAGCGGGACGUGUCGGACAACCCGAGGAGGGGCGCACUGAGAGGAAGAGAUCUGCAGUUUAUUGAUCCCAAGAACUUAAGCAAAACACCAAUAAAGGAGCAGACUAAACUCUGCUAAAAAAAGCUGCACUGACUGUCCAUGAGUAAAUUGUUUUAGCCCUUUAAUGCCUAA